rnacentral:rRNA from 1 species
CGCCUGUAGACUAGCCCAAUUACAGGUACAUCCUGCCCGGUGAUCUAUUUAAACGGCUGCGGUAUCCUGACCGUGCAAAGGUAGCAUAAUCAUUUGCCCCCUAAUUAGGGGCUAGCAUGAAUGGACAAACGAGAUUAUUCCUGUCUCUUUUAAACACAUAAAAAUUAAUCUGCAGGUGAAGAAGCCUGCAUAAAUAUAAAAGACAAGAAGACCCUGUCGAGCUUUAAUUAUCUAUAACACAAAGUAAUUCUAAAUACCCUCUUUUAUAGAUAAUAUUUGUUGGGGCGACAACGGAAAACAAAAAACCUCCGAAAAUCAUCAGACCUUAAGUCUCCCAAAAGGAUCCCCUAAAGGACACCUAGCAACAGCUACCGCAGGGAUAACAGACUAAUCCUCCUCAAGAGCCCAAAUCUACAGGAGGGCUUGGCACCUCGAUGUUGGCUUAGGAUUACACUUAAAUGCAGAAGUUUAAGAUGUAGGUUUGUUCAACCUUUAAUUUCCU